rnacentral:rRNA from 1 species
CCUACGGGAGGCUGCAGUCGAGAAUCAUUCACAAUGGGGGAAACCCUGAUGGUGCGACGCCGCGUAGGGGAAUGAAGGUCUUCGGAUUGUAAACCCCUGUCAUGUGGGAGCAAAUUAAAAAGAUAGUACCACAAGAGGAAGAGACGGCUAACUCUGUGCCAGCAGCCGCGGUAAUACAGAGGUCUCAAGCGUUGUUCGGAAUCACUGGGCGUAAAGCGUGCGUAGGCUGUUUCGUAAGUCGUGUGUGAAAGGCGCGGGCUCAACCCGCGGACGGCACAUGAUACUGCGAGACUAGAGUAAGGGAGGGGGAACCGGAAUUCUCGGUGUAGCAGGGAAAUGCGUAGAUAUCGAGAGGAACACUCGUGGCGAAGGCGGGUUCCUGGACAUUAACUGACGCUGAGGCACGAAGGCCAGGGGAGCGAAAGGGAUUAGAUACCCCAGUAGUC